rnacentral:rRNA from 1 species
GACGAACGCUGGCGGCGUGCUUAACACAUGCAAGUCGAACGGAAAGGCCCUGCUUUUGUGGGGUGCUCGAGUGGCGAAAGGGUGAGUAACACGUGAGUAACCUGCCCUUGACUUUGGGAUAACUUCAGGAAACUGGGGCUAAUACCGGAUAGGAGCUCCUGCUGCAUGGUGGGGGUUGGAAAGUUUCGGCGGUUGGGGAUGGACUCGCGGCUUAUCAGCUUGUUGGCGGGGUAGUGGCUUACCAAGGCUUUGACGGGUAGCCGGCCUGAGAGGGUGACCGGCCACAUUGGGACUGAGAUACGGCCCAGACUCCUACGGGAGGCAGCAGUGGGGAAUAUUGCACAAUGGGCGGAAGCCUGAUGCAGCAACGCCGCGUGCGGGAUGACGGCCUUCGGGUUGUAAACCGCUUUCGCCUGUGACGAAGCGUGAGUGACGGUAAUGGGUAAAGAAGCACCGGCUAACUACGU